rnacentral:rRNA from 1 species
CUUGCCUACGGGACGCAGCAGUAGGGAAUCUUCCACAAUGGGCGAAAGCCUGAUGGAGCAACGCCGCGUGGGUGAAGAAGGUCUUCGGAUCGUAAAACCCUGUUGUUAGAGAAGAAAGUGCGUGAGAGUAACUGUUCACGUUUCGACGGUAUCUAACCAGAAAGCCACGGCUAACUACGUGCCAGCAGCCGCGGUAAUACGUAGGUGGCAAGCGUUAUCCGGAUUUAUUGGGCGUAAAGGGAACGCAGGCGGUCUUUUAAUUCUGUUGUGAAAGCCUUCGGCUUAACCGUAGUAGUGCAUUGGUA